UACUCCUGUACCCUGACUUGCUGUCCCUCCCUCCCUGCCCUGUCCUGUGCUCCAAGAAGCUAGCAGGGUAGAGGUGCAGGGAGCCCCUGGCCUGCUCAGGGGUUGUCUGCAGGAUGUCCUCAGGUGGCAGUGGGGCCAUGAAUGUGACAGUUCAGCACCUGCCACCGAGACCUCCUCAAAAGCUGACAUAAGGUAUUUGCUUUCUCUCCAGAACUUUGAUAAGAAAAAGUUGGGCGGACCAUUCAAAUGACUUCAGUCACUGUAGCACAAAAUACUCACAGCUAUUCGCAUCAAGGAUGCCUUUAUGGAGCUCCACUUGUCCCUCCGUCUGUCGAUGACAAUAACAAAUCCGAUGCUGGCAGCCUCCACACUGCAAAAAAGGGAGUCACUGUCAGAGGUCAGGAGUCAGUCCCAGAAAGAUUCGGAAAUAACCUAGGCCAGCAGGGAUGCACCCUCGUCCGGAGGCACCAAGAGGGGUUGUGUGAGAGAAGACACCGUCUCCAGCAGGACCAGACCCCACGAAAGACCCCAGUCUCGCGAAAUCUUUUGAGACUAAAGCCCUAAAAGUGAAACUACUGUCCUUGUCUCCUUUGGGUACAGGUGUGAUCUAGAACAAGGGCUUUGGGGGCUAGCUCACGCCCUAGUGCUGCUACAUCCGGGCAACGGGUCAUUGCAAAGGCUGCCUAACGUUUCUCAAAUGCAUUUCCUCCUCUGUAAAAUUAGAGUACUAUCACC
rnacentral:lncRNA from 1 species